UUCUCCAAUGCUUUUCAGCCCCAUGCCUGCAUUCUUGGCACAAUGGACACCGUGGCCUCUGGAGCUGCAUCGGGAGACCUCUGUGUGCUGGGCUACAGAAGAAGAAGAGAGAUGGAGGAAGGAACUUGAUCAAGUACCUAGUGGGGCCUGACCCAAGCAAGUGACUCGUUGACAUUCCUCAUCAGCUGGGCAAUGCUGGUAAGAGUACCGUGCCUGUUUGGUGCCUAGGUUUAUUAAGACUUUUAGUUAUCUCAGAAAGUUGAGAUUGAUAGCAUGCUAGGUGGAUGUUUAUGGGGCGCUAGCACUUGUGUGCAAGAAAAUAUUAAUCAAUAUGAGACCGUCCAUGGCAUGGCAAAAUGAAUUAUUUUUUUCUGGAGAGAAGCAGAAUCCCAUAUUGUGAAAACAGGCGGGAAUUUCCGGAUUCUGCAUUUUACUCUGGAAUUUGUGAGACGAGUAACGAACCGCAAACCUGACAAAAGCACUGAACUGUUAACAUGUUGCGGAUAAGGUGACUUUCUCCUGUCAGGAGAACAGGACAGUGGAAUUGUGCCUACAAGGGCAGUCUGGAGGCUGACUUGGACGUUAGCUGAAAAAACCAUGGAUAACCUCUUCUUAAUAGCCAAUUCAGCUUAGAAGUGGAGGCUGUCUUAAAAUGAUCUCAGAGAAACACGUGGGGCGGAGCUUGAAAAAAGGGAUGGGGAUAUUGUGCAGGGUUUUUCCAGUUGUUCUGAGACUGCAGAGGAGUCAGGAGAGCGGAUGAAUGAUGAUGAGGUGCCAGAGCAGAGGUCAAAAGUGAGUGGUGUGUGAUUGGGUGGAGAAUAGUUUCUUGGGGCUGAGUUUCCUGUGUUUCUGGCAACGUAGAGAGUGUUCGGGAAGGCUGUGCUGUUUUUUGAGUGGUGCUACUGGAGAAGUGAGUACCUGAAGUCCCGUUGAAGGUGCAGGGGUGUUGGAUGUGAGCGUGUCUGUGUGUGAGCAGAGACAUGGCUGUGCUGUGUUAUGGCCUUAGGCAUAAUGGGGAUGGGAGCGUGAAGGGUGUGGUGCAGGGCAGGUCCCUGUGAUUCCUUCGAUAGCUCAGCUGGUAGAGCGGAGGACUGUAGGCUCCCUUGACACGGCCAUCCUUAGGUCGCUGGUUCAACUCCGGCUCGAAGGAGUGCUCUUUUGGCUCUUGCUCCGACUGAGUCUGCAGCACUGGUGCAUUUGGAACGCUGGCCACGCAUCUUGUAUUUGAUGGGAUUGGAGGCCGGAGCUCUGGCGGGCCGUGGAGAAGAGGACGUUGCUCUGUGGUGGUUUGUGUAGAAGAUAGGGCAGGUGGUGUUGGCGUUGAGCACCUGUAUGUUUGAAGGGAGCAGCAGCAGCAGCUGGAAGUUGGGAGUGUUUGUUGGGUUUGUGAAGAAGGGUGCUGGGUGGGCAAGAGUAGUGUGCAGGGCCACGUGGGUGAGAGCUGAGGGGAGGUGAGGUGAGUUGGAGGCUGUGUGCUGGGGAAUUAGCUCAAGUGGUAGAGCGCUCGCUUAGCAUGUGAGAGGCAGCGGGAUCGAUGCCCGCAUUCUCCAAUGCUUUUCAGCCCCAUGCCUGCAUUCUUGGCACAAUGGACACCGUGACCUCUGGAGCUGCAUCGGGAGACCUCUGUGUGCUGGGCUACAGAAGAAGAAGAGAGAUGGAGGAAAGAACUUGUUGAAAUACAGAAUGUGGUCUGGAGAAAAUGAUGACAGGAAAAAGUCUAAAAGUGAGCUGUAACUCCAGAUAUAAGAAGAAUUUCUAAGAACCUGCUCUGUUCGGCAAAUAUAAUCCAAAGGGAAAGAAGUAAGUGCCACCAGAAGUCCCGUUCCACUGAAAACAGCUGCUGCUUUUCAUCCUUCACAUUCAAGGUUAAACAGGAUGGUGAGAACACUAACAUGAUACUGGGAUUUAUAUUGGAGACUGACAAGAAGUGAGAAAAUAAAGAAGGAAGAUGAGGAGUCUGAAACAAGAACUCUUGCUAGCUGAUGACUUUUCUCAGGUAAAUGAAUGGCAACUAGAAAAAAAGACCCCAAACGAGUAAAGCAUGAAGAUGCGAGUGAAAUAUGGUAGGUUAAUAAGAUAAGGGAGAGUAUGUAUCCCAAUAAUGGACAUAUACAGUGCUAAUGUGUGCCAUUUUUUCAGUCAUUGAGCAUGAUCUAUCUUUCAUUCUGUAUUUGAAUAUUUUGAUGUGUUGAUGUCAAUUUUUAUAGUACCCAACUGAACAACCUAAUCAAAGGGCAACAGAUUGAAUAAGUGGAAGAGGAUGCUUCUGCCAAGAUGUGCUGCGUCUCUGGUUCAGGACUGAGGACUGAUUUUUGUUUGCAAGAAAAGAGUGCUUCUGAGGCAGCUACACCCUCAAAUGUUCUUCUUAUCAUUUCUUUUCAGUUAGUUCUGAAUCACAUGCCCUACCUGACGGAUAUUCAAACAAUCUCCUGAAAAAGAAAGAACUGUUUCAAGUGCCUUUCUUAGGAGUGAGUUUUUAAGAUCUCAGACGAGCCCAAUAAUUCUCUGGCAAUAAAUUACAUUCUUGUCACAUUCCUGUGUUACUGAAUAGUCACUGUCAUUAUGGUUUCAAAAGAAAUACAGAACAGAUUUAAAUAAUAUGAUUGCAUUGCACCCAUUUUUAAAUACAUAUAGCUAUAUUGGAAGUAAGGUAUUCCAUCUGGUUAGCCAUCUGUAACUCCAUCUAUUCAAGGAGUAUUCAUAAGAGAACAACCAUAUAUUUGAAUUCUCUGAACAUAUUGUGACCUUCUGUUACUAUUCACAUAGAGUAUCUCAAUUUAAAUGUAUUUUGGGUUUUUAAUAUCUCUCAACAACUGUACUAUUUGAAAAAGUAGCAAACCAAAGAAAUACAAACCUCAAAUGAACAGUCUGUUGCAUAUGCAAAUUGCUCAUGCCUUUACCUGGUCAGUUUGACCCAGAGAAGUAAUCCAGAACUGUAACUUCCUAGCUCAUGCAAAUAAAACCAAUUUGAACUACCUAAGUGAUAUAUAUAUAAACACUUCUUUUUCCCAAAAAUAAAAUUAUAGGCAAUUAAGCUUUAAGUAACGGUAAUGCACUUAAGUUUUUCAACAAGAUAUUCAGUGGAGCACCAGGAAUUUUAUUUUUAU